ensembl:ncRNA F31F6.14 ncRNA
CGAGUGGAACAGUACUUUUCAGAACUGAUCGUAUGCCCCACGGUCCGCUUGAUCCGGAUCAGACGGUGACCGGUCAGCUUUAUUGCAGAGACUCAGUGCGUUUUGAAAUGCGCACGAUCACACCAACGAAACCAGUACUAUAAGCAAAC